GUGAGCAACUGCCAGUGCCAAGGAGGGAUGGAGGCGAGAGGAGUCCCAGGAGAAGGAGGGAGAGGCAGAAGAAGCUGGGGCCAAGGGAAAGGAAUGGCGAGAUGGGGCCAGCAGGACAUACAGGAGAGUUCACGCUCACCUGGUCUGUGGAGUUCUUGAUUUAAAGUAUUGCAAGAGAUGUCUAAAGCUGGCGUGCUUUUCUCAUGUGGACACCCCAGAAAUUGAGCCAGAGGAUCCGUGGACGUGGUGAAACCUGCAGAUAUCCUCCAACUGCUAAGACAUGGUUUCUGGACCCCUCAGCAUCUUUGUUGUCUUUGGAACUCAUCCCAAGAAGAGAGCAGAGAGCAUGCAGAGGAAGCCUGACUGACACCAGGGUGGAGGAGACCAUUUGGCAGCAGUGGAGCCAAGCGAUCUCUACACAGAUGGGAGCGGGUCAUGCAGUCGCUGCGGAGAUGAGACAAGUUCUCUUGCACGGAAGGCUGGAGGCGAGCCUGCGCAUGAAGCCUGCUGAUGCCAGUGGCUUGAAGCUGGUAGACGCCGGCUGAGCGGAUCCGGCAGAAGUUGGUGGAUGUUGGGGGUACGGAAGCCCGUGGCCGUCCAUAUUCGGAAGCUGCUAGAUUCUGUCGCUACGCGGAAGAAGCUGGUGGAUGUUUGCAGAUGAAAGCUGAGAUGUCUGAAGCUGAUGUGCUUUUCUCAUGUGGACACCCCAGAAAUUGAGCCGGAGGACACGUAGAUGUGGUGGAACCUGCGGAUAUCCACCCACUCCUAGGACUUGGUUUCUGGACCCCUCAGCAUCUUUGUUGUCUUUGGUACCCAUCCCAAGGUAUGGAGACGAACUUUAGAAGCAGGUUUCCUCCCAAUUUAUGAUUGUAUAGCCCUUUUUCAUAUCCCCUUCUCCUUCCUCAUUUGUAUGUUUUCCCCACAAUAAAGUCUCCUCCUGCCAA